UACGUAGGGUGCAAGCGUUGUCCGGAAUUAUUGGGCGUAAAGAGCUCGUAGGCGGUCUGUCGCGUCGGCUGUGAAAACUCGGGGGCUCAACCCCGAGCUUGCAGUCGAUACGGGCAGGCUAGAGUUCGGCAGGGGAGACUGGAAUUCCUGGUGUAGCGGUGAAAUGCGCAGAUAUCAGGAGGAACACCGGUGGCGAAGGCGGGUCUCUGGGCCGAUACUGACGCUGAGGAGCGAAAGCGUGGGGAGCGAACAGG
rnacentral:rRNA from 1 species